CUCCUAACUACAAUAUAUCGUUAGCUGGCAUGUGUCUGUGAUUGUCCCACUGGAGGCUCCGAAGGAGGCUAGAUUCUGAAUUCGUAUGAUCACAAUUGAACUAAAGAGCAGAAAAAUCGACAAGUAACAUUUUUUUUUGAUGUAAUGAAAUACAAUUCAUGUCCAAGUAUAUCAUGUAAAUUUGAUCUAAUAUUUUACAAAUAUUUUUAUAUAGAGUAUAUAAGAUAGUUAAUUUAAACAAAAUAUCAUCGCAAUAAUUUUUCAAAUC
rnacentral:lncRNA from 1 species